GUCCAGCUGACGAGUCCAAAAUAGAACGAAACGCGUGUUUUGGAU
rnacentral:hammerhead_ribozyme from 1 species